UACGUAGGGUGCGAGCGUUAAUCGGAAUUACUGGGCGUAAAGCGUGCGCAGGCGGUUUUGUAAGCCGGAUGUGAAAGCCCCGGGCUUAACCUGGGAAUGGCAUUUGGGACUGCAAGGCUUGAGUGCGGCAGAGGAGACUGGAAUUCCCGGUGUAGCAGUGAAAUGCGUAGAUAUCGGGAGGAACACCCGUAGCGAAGGCGGCACUCUGGGCCGAUACUGACACUGAGGAGCGAAAGCGUGGGGAGCGAACAGG
rnacentral:rRNA from 1 species